GACGAACGCUGGCGGCGUGCCUAAUACAUGCAAGUCGAACGCUGAAGGAGGAGCUUGCUUCUCUGGAUGAGUUGCGAACGGGUGAGUAACGCGUAGGUAACCUGCCUGGUAGCGGGGGAUAACUAUUGGAAACGAUAGCUAUUACCGCAUAAUAGUAGAUGUUGCAUGACAUUUGCUUAAAAGGUGCAAUUGCAUCAUUACCAGAUGGACCUGCGUUGUAUUAGCUGGUUGGUGGGGUAACGGCUCACCAAGGCGACGACACAUAGCCGACCUGAGAGGGGGCACCGCCAAAAUGGGACUGGGACACGGCCCAGAACUCUAAGGGAGGGAGCAGGAGGGAAGCUUCGGCAAGGGACGGAAGGUUGAACGAGCAACGCCGCGGGAGGGAAGAAGGGUGUCGGAUCGUAAAGCUCUGUUGUAAGAGAAGAAAGAGUGUGAGAGUGGAAAGUUCACACUGUGACGGUAGCUUACCAGAAAGGGACGGCUAACUACGUG
rnacentral:rRNA from 1 species